CGUUAAAGAGUCGGAAACAUAAAUAAACGCUAAGCCUAAGCUUGCGCUCGCUGCCUAGUGCAGCGAUGUUCACCUAGUCCAAGUCCUACGGAUUAGAACCGGACAUCAUUAAGUAGGACUUACCACUCAUGAGUGUUCACCUUGUGAAUGGGAAAUUUCAGUGAACUAAGGAAUCGAUCAGGCGCCAGCGACAGGUCGAUUCUCGAAAACUUCCCGUUGGCUGCGCUCGGAGAAUGUUCAUGGAGAAGCUGACGGACGCGGGUUCGAUUCCCGCCACCUCCACCA
rnacentral:tmRNA from 1 species